GAGGAUGUAGCUCGGUGGUAGAGUGCAUGCUUUGCACGUAUAAGGUCUAGGGUUCAAUCCCCUGCAUCUCCA